UGUGGCAGAAUAGUGCGGUGGACUUAAACCCCAUAAAUAAAGAGCAACUUUCUUUAGAA
rnacentral:tRNA from 1 species